UCCUGCCAGUAGUCAUAUGCUUGUCUCAAAGAUUAAGCCAUGCAUGUCUCAGUUCAGGCCUUAAUACGGUGAAACCGCGAAUGGCUCAUUAAAUCAGCUAUGGUUUAUUGGAUCGCACUCGUUAAAUGGAUAACUGUAAUAACUCUAGAGCUAAUACAUGCCUCGAUGCUCUGACCCUGUUUGCUUCGCUUGCAGGGGAUGGGUGCACUUAUUAGAUCAGAAGCCAACCAACUGUGCGUAUGCGGCUGCAAGGUCGCGGCGCGCGUUGAGGCACUUCUGGUGACUCUGGAUAAUUGUUACAGAUCGCAGUCGGCCUUGAGUCGGCGACGGGUCCUUCAAAUGUCUGCCCUAUCAACUUUCGAUGGUAGGUGACCUGCCUACCAUGGUGAUAACGGGUAACGGGGAAUCAGGGUUCGAUUCCGGAGAGGGAGCCUGAGAAACGGCUACCACUUCCAAGGGAGGCAGCAGGCGCGCAAAUUACCCACUCCCAGCACGGGGAGGUGGUGACGAAGAAUACCGAUGCGGGACUCCCUAAAGAGGCUCCGUAAUCGGAAUGAGUGGACUCUAAAUCCUUUCACGAGGAUCAAUUGGAGGGCAAGUCUGGUGCCAGCAGCCGCGGUAACUCCAGCUCCAAUAGCGUAUAUUAAAGUUGCUGCAGUUAAAAAGCUCGUAGUUGGAUCUCGGUAGCAUUGUUGCCUGUUGGUAUUUGAGCGGCCGGUGUGUGGUUGACGAUGUGCGGUCGUGGCGUCUGUAUGUUGGUGGGUCGGUUGGUAGAUCAGUUGGUGAGUCUAUCGGUUAGUCGGUGCGUUGGCGGUCGAUGUAGUCGGUGGGUUGAUGUGCCUGCCCGCGUGCGGCUGGCUAUUAGUGGGUGUGCGAGGCGUCGACGGCGGCCGCUGUUGCCGUUUGCUGUCUUGCUCGCUCACUUACUCGCCGGUUCAGUUACGCGCUGGCUCACUCACUCGCCGGUUUGCUCGUUCGCUCACUCGUAUGCUGGCUGGUCGGCUAGUCAGCUGGUCUGUCUACCAGCUCACUUAUUCACCUGCAGCGCCGGGGUCGUGUCGUCGUGGCCAUUAUUGAGCACUGUCGUGUCAAGCCGGCAAGGCGAUGGUGUCACCUUUAAGCCAUGUCUGUGGUGUAACAACCGCAGGUGUGGGCGGGUGUUGGGCAGUGCUUUGCACACGUUGUGGAGCCUGUCGGCUCGUCCGCAUGCCUCUGGAUGCCCUUCAAAAGGUGUCUGUGGGCGGAUGGCACGUUUACUUUGAACAAAUUUGAGUGCUCAAAUCAGGCCGAUGUUGCCUGAAAAGUUUUGCAUGGAAUAAUGGAAUAGGACUUCGGUUCUAUUUCGUUGGUUUUCGGAUCCGAAGUAAUGAUCAAAAGAGACAGGCGGGGACGUUUGUAUGGCUGCGCUAGAGGUGAAAUUCAUGGACCGUAGCCAGACAAACUAAAGCGAAAGCAUUCGUCAAGCAUGUUUUCAUUGGCCAUGAGCGAAAGUCAGAGGCUCGAAGACGAUCAGAUACCGUCCUAGUUCUGACCAUAAACGAUGCCAACUGACGAUCCGUGGUGGUAGUGCUGUUACCUUCCCCACGGGCAGUCCCCGGGAAACCUUUAAGUGUUUGGGUUCCGGGGGAAGUAUGGUUGCAAAGCUGAAACUUAAAGGAAUUGACGGAAGGGCACCACCAGGAGUGGAGCCUGCGGCUUAAUUUGACUCAACACGGGAAAACUCACCCGGGCCGGACACUAUGAGGAUUGACAGAUUGAGAGCUCUUUCUUGAUUUGGUGGUUGGUGGUGCAUGGCCGUUCUUAGUUGGUGGAGCGAUUUGUCUGGUUAAUUCCGAUAACGAACGAGACUCCAGCCUGCUAAUUAGUGCGUUUGUCCACUGCAUCUGUGUAGGUGACGUUGGACGAGGCUGCUACCAUGGGCGGAUGGCUUCUUGCUUCUCCAUCUUGCUUUUCCUGCUCUUCUUGCUCUUGCUCUUCCUCUUCUACUGCCCUCGCACAUAGCUGCAAUUGGCUGUUGUGUAGUCAGUUGUUGGCUGGCCUGGGAGGGUGGCCGGAGGAGAUUGGAGGGUAGUUGAGCGGAGUGGAGGGAAGUGGAGGGGCAGAGAUUGACGCCUGUGGUCGGUUGGUCGGUCUGGCGUUGGCCCCCGGGUGCGGCGCGAAUGCCUACUUCUUAGAGGGACAAGCGGGAGAAGCCGCACGAAAUAGAGCAAUAACAGGUCUGUGAUGCCCUUAGAUGUCCGGGGCCGCACGCGCGCUACAAUGACGGUGUCAACGAGUUAGACCUUCUGGCCCGAAAGGGUUGGGCAAACUGGUCAAUCACCGUCAUGACAGGGAUCGGGGCUUGGAAUUGUUCCCCGUGAACGAGGAAUUCCUAGUAAGUGCAAGUCAUAAGCUUGCGCUGAUUACGUCCCUGCCCUUUGUACACACCGCCCGUCGCUACUACCGAUUGAAUGGUUUAGUAAGGUCCUUGGAUUGGCGUCAUUGUGGUGGUCGCCGAGAGGUGGUUGCCCGACAGGCGCUGAGAAGACGACCGAACUUGAUCAUUUAGAGGAAGUAAAAGUCGUAACAAG
rnacentral:rRNA from 1 species